UACGGGGGGAGCAAGCGUUGUUCGGAUUUACUGGGCGUAAAGGGCGCGUAGGCGGCCACCGCAAGUCGACUGUGAAAUCUCCGGGCUUAACCCGGAAAGGUCAGCCGAUACUACGGGGCUAGAGUGCAGAAGGGGCAACUGGAAUUCUCGGUGUAGCGGUGAAAUGCGUAGAUAUCAGGAGGAACACCGGUGGCGAAGGCGGAUCUCUGGGCCAUUACUGACGCUGAGGAGCGAAAGCGUGGGGAGCGAACAGG
rnacentral:rRNA from 1 species